rnacentral:lncRNA from 12 species
CUCAACCAGAGUCCGUGUGAUAAUUUUAAGUGCUAUGUGGCCUUUGCUCGCCUCCACCCCACCCCUGCUGGAGGCUGUGUUUUCAGACUUACCAAUUUGAGACCCCUUUGUAAACCCCCACCCCGCCUGUCCCCGUCCUGGGGACCACCCCACCGCAGGAAGAAAUAGUCCGCGAGCGAAGGAGGCGGUGUACAGGCAGUAUUUUUCAACAGGUUCACAAGGGCACGAAGUGCAGUAUAUAAAAAGAGGAUAAUGACUUGACUUGAGUGCAGGAAAAGGCCCAAUGAACAGAGCAGCCAAGCUUGCCGGGACGAGAAUAGAUGAAAGUUUGGAGAAAAGUCAAGAAGAAAUGGCAUUGUCUGCAUGCUUGGUUGAAACUCUUUCCAUGACUAAGAAUUGUAGUCCGUCUUGCCAUCUCAUCUGAGGAACAUCUGCUCUGAGAAGCCAGUCAAUAUUGUGGAGAAGUUCAAAGAAAGCAGACCAUUAGUAGUGUCAGCUUUACAACCAGGAGGUAAUGGCAUUAAA